CCAGACUCCUACGGGAGGCAGCAGUGGGGGAUAUUGCACAAUGGGGGAAACCCUGAUGCAGCGACGCCGCGUGGGCGAAGAAGUAUUUCGGUAUGUAAAGCCCUAUCAGCAGGGAAGAAGAAAUGACGGUACCUGAGUAAGAAGCCCCGGCUAACUACGUGCCAGCAGCCGCGGUAAUACGUAGGGGGCAAGCGUUAUCCGGAUUUACUGGGUGUAAAGGGAGCGCAGGCGGCGCGUUAAGCCUGGUGUGAAAGCCCGCGGCCCAACCGCGGGACUGCAUUGGGAACUGGCGCGCUGGAGUGCGGGAGGGGCAGGCGGAAUUCCUGGUGUAGCGGUGAAAUGCGUAGAUAUCAGGAGGAACACCGGCGGCGAAGGCGGCCUGCUGGACCGUAACUGACGUUGAGGCUCGAAAGCGUGGGGAGCAAACAGGAUUAGAUACCCCAGUAU
rnacentral:rRNA from 1 species